rnacentral:lncRNA from 1 species
GACUUAUGAAGAAAUUGAUGAUGUCCAGAAUGCUAUUGUGAAUGGCCGAGUGAGAAGAAGUGGGAAUAAGAGGGAAGAUGAAGACAUGGGCAUUAUGGACAUUUCACGCGUGGUCAGUUUCUUUAAGGGCAAAAAUGUCAUUGCAAUUGCCAUCUGCUGACGUGUCCUGACAAAAAGCCAGUCGCUAGUUGCCACAUAUCUAAUUACCAUCCACCUCAGUAAUUUUUUUUAAUUAGGACGAAUUUUAAAAUGAUUAAUAUUUGCAGGGGCAAAAUGGGAGGAUUAGUAAGUUCAUGGAUGAAAAAUCAAAUGGCCUAUCAUUGCAGGGAUGAAAAGCAU